rnacentral:rRNA from 1 species
CUGGUCAUUUAGAGGAAGUAAAAGUCGUAACAAAGGUAUCCUUCCUACGGAAGCCUGUGUUCUCCAGCGACUCUAAAGAAGAGAGCAAGUGGCUUCGGCUGCUACAUGAUCGAAUUGCGGGGAAAUCCUAAAGCUCGCGCUACUCCCCAGCCGCCGAAAGGCCGCUGGUAUAGUUAUAACGCUCGAGAUGUGCCAAUGGAUGAUCCGCAGCCAAGCCCCUACCGCAUACGUUACGGGGAAGGUUCACAGACUAAGUGGUUAUGGGUCAGGGCUGCCUGACUUAAGAUAUAGUCGGUCGGAUGGUGAAAGCUAUCUGCUAAGACGUUCCGUAGGUGAACCUGCGGAAGGAUCAUUA